GACGAACGCUGGCGGCGUGCCUAAUACAUGCAAGUAGAACGCUGAAGGAGGAGCUUGCUCUUCUUGGAUGAGUUGCGAACGGGUGAGUAACGCGUAGGUAACCUGCCUGGUAGCGGGGGAUAACUAUUGGAAACGAUAGCUAAUACCGCAUAAUAGUAGAUGUUGCAUGACAUUUGCUUAAAAGGUGCAAUUGCAUCACUACCAGAUGGACCUGCGUUGUAUUAGCUAGUUGGUGAGGUAACGGCUCACCAAGGCAACGAUACAUAGCCGACCUGAGAGGGUGAUCGGCCACACUGGGACUGAGACACGGCCCAGACUCCUACGGGAGGCAGCAGUAGGGAAUCUUCGGCAAUGGACGGAAGUCUGACCGAGCAACGCCGCGUGAGUGAAGAAGGUUUUCGGAUCGUAAAGCUCUGUUGUAAGAGAAGAACGAGUGUGAGAGUGGAAAGUUCACACUGUGACGGUAUCUUACCAGAAAGGGACGGCUAACUACGUG
rnacentral:rRNA from 1 species